AAUCAGGGUCCUUAGACAAUGUAACAUCGCUUGGUAGCGAAACGAUAUCUAAAAUCGUCAUCGUCUCAACGAUAACGACAAACAUUUCUUAGCCAAAGUAACAUCGCGAUCGUUAUCGUUGUGUCGAAUCGAUUAUUCGCUAAAAAGCAAAAAUAUUGUUUAUGGUAACGAAAAUUUAGCUGUCAGUGUCACUCAAGAAGUUCAAAUCGGAUUAUUCCCGCGAGUUAUUACUGUUUUCGAAUUUUACUGAUAAGAAUAAGUGAGUUGUUGGCGAUCGCCGUACUUCGUGAGGGUGAUGUUAUCACAGUCAGCGACGUUGGAGUGCUGGGUGACGUCACGGGAUCGGCACGCUGCCGGUGGUUACCGCGCCGAUGGGCUUCAAGUGGUUGUGCUGCAAUGUCCUUAGCCCAGACGUAAAUAUCCGAAAACUGCUGGGCUCAAGUGCUUCCCAAGAGAAAUAUGACUUUAUUAGUUCAAUUUCGAACUAGCCCUCGCAUAAGACAGUCCACGUUAUUUCUAUGAUAGUGAUGAAACAUGGAAUCAAGAGUGCGAACAAGUUCCCAACAAUUGUCAAUGCUGCUUGAGGAUACGGCAAAUCAUGGUGACCCGGCGAGGCCUCUUGCUGCAUCACUAGGUUGGGUACGGUCAGACCGACUGUGGACUGAACAGACAAACAUAUUGAAUGCUGUUGGUGGUGGUGGCAGCAAGACUACAGACAAGUGAUAAAAAGCGUGGUCCGCGGUUGAGAUCGCCAGCGACACCGCAGUCUGCUGUUUCUCCCGACCGCCCUCGUUUGAGCGACCCCCUUCGAGACAGCGGCAAGCGAGUAGCUAAAAAGCUAAGAGCACACAGCACCUGAAAAUUAUAAUAAUACAGAUUUAGA